rnacentral:tRNA from 1 species
CGCGGAAGUGGGAGACGGCACGCGCCUUGGCCUUGCGGCGGCCGACCUUCAUCCGUACGGACUGGACGCCCGCGACC